GAUAAACGCUGGCGGCGUGCUUCAGGCAUGCAAGUCGAACGGACCUUCGGGUCAGUGGCGGACGGGUGAGUAACACGUAAGUAACCUGCCCAGAAGUGGGGAAUAACUAGCCGAAAGGCUGGCUAAUACCGCAUGUGAUGGUUGUUCCCUGGAGCAAUCAUGAAAGGCGAAAGUCGCUUCUGGAGGGGCUUGCGGCCGAGUAGCUAGUUGGUGGGGUAAUGGCCUACCAAGGCUUCGAUCGGUAGCUGGUCUGAGAGGACGGACAGCCACACGGGGACUGAGAUACGGCCCCGACUCCUACGGGAGGCAGCAGCUAGGAAUCUUGGGAAUGGGCGAAAGCCUGACCCAGCAACGCCGCGUGGGCGAUGAGGGCCUUCGGGUCGUAAAGCCCUUUUGCAGGGGACGAUGAUGACGGUACCCUGCGAAUAAGCCACGGCUAACUACGUGCCAGCCGCCGCGGUAAGAC
rnacentral:rRNA from 1 species